rnacentral:snoRNA from 1 species
CCGUGCACCUAUUGCAUGGCCAGGAAAGCGCCUCCUUUGUCUGGCCAUCGCCCCCCGUGCACCAGAUCC